GAUGAACGCUGGCGGCGUGCCUAAUACAUGCAAGUCGAGCGAACAGACGAGGAGCUUGCUCCUCUGACGUUAGCGGCGGACGGGUGAGUAACACGUGGAUAACCUACCUAUAAGACUGGGAUGACUUCGGGAAACCGGAGCUAAUACCGGAUAAUAUAUUGAACCGCAUGGUUCAAUAGUGAAAGACGGUUUUGCUGUCACUUAUAGAUGGAUCCGCGCCGCAUUAGCUAGUUGGUAAGGUAACGGCUUACCAAGGCAACGAUGCGUAGCCGACCUGAGAGGGUGAUCGGCCACACUGGAACUGGGACACGGUCCAGACUCCUACGGGAGGCAGCAGUAGGGAAUCUUCCGCAAAGGGCGAAAGCCUGACGGAGCAACGCCGCGUGAGUGAUGAAGGUCUUCGGAUCGUAAAACUCUGUUGUUAGGGAAGAACAAAUGUGUAAGUAACUAUGCACGUCUUGACGGUACCUAAUCAGAAAGCCACGGCUAACUACGUG
rnacentral:rRNA from 1 species